GAGUUUGAUCAUGGCUCAGAGUUAACGCUGGCGGCGUGCCUAACACAUGCAAGUCGAGCGAGCUUGUAGCAAUACAAGUUAGCGGCAAACGGGUGAGUAACACAUGGGAAACCUCCCUCAGAAUGGGGAACAUCUCCGAGAAAUCGGAGCUAAUACCGCAUAAGGCCACAGUCUGGCAUCAGACAGGGGUAAAAGCAGCAAUGCGUUUUGAGAUGGUCCUGUGUCCUAUCAGCUAGUUGGUGAGGUAACGGCUCACCAAGGCUAAGACGGGUAUCCGGCCUGAAAGGGUGAACGGACACACUGGAACUGAGACACGGUCCAGACUCCUACGGGAGGCAGCAGUGGGGAAUUUUGGACAAUGGGGGAAACCCUGAUCCAGCGACGCCGCGUGAAGGAUGAAGGCCUUCGGGUUGUAAACUUCUUUUGGAGGGGACGAAUAAAUUGACGGUACCCUCAGAAAAAGCCACGGCUAACUACGUGCCAGCAGCCGCGGUAAUACGUAGGUGGCGAGCGUUACUCGGAAUUACUAGGCGUAAAGCGUAUGUAGGCGGUUGUAUAAGUCUAUGGUGAAAUUUCCUGGCUCAACUGGGAAGGGACAUAGAUACUGUAUGGCUUGAGUGUUGGAGGGGGAGACGGAAUUCCUGGUGUAGUGGUGAAAUGCGUAGAUAUCAGGAGGAACACCGAUGGCGAAAGCAGUCUCCUGGCCAAAUACUGACGCUGAGGUACGAAAGCUAGGGUAGCAAACAGGAUUAGAUACCCUGGUAGUCCUAGCUGUAAACGAUGUUCACUAGAUGUGGGAGGUAUCGACCCCUUCCGCGUCGACGCUAACGCAUUAAGUGAACCGCCUGGGGAGUACGGCCG
rnacentral:rRNA from 1 species